CCGUUGCCGUCAGGGGGACGAAUGGUGGCCGGCCUGAGAGGGCGACCGGCCACACUGGGACUGAGACACGGCCCAGACUCCUACGGGAGGCAGCAGUGGGGAAUAUUGCACAAUGGGCGAAAGCCUGAUGCAGCGACGCCGCGUGAGGGAUGACGGCCUUCGGGUUGUAAACCUCUUUCAGCAGGGAAGAAGCGAAAGUGACGGUACCUGCAGAAGAAGCGCCGGCUAACUACGUGCCAGCAGCCGCGGUAAUACGUAGGGCGCAAGCGUUGUCCGGAAUUAUUGGGCGUAAAGAGCUCGUAGGCGGCUUGUCACGUCGGUUGUGAAAGCCCGGGGCUUAACCCCGGGUCUGCAGUCGAUACGGGCAGGCUAGAGUGUGGUAGGGGAGAUCGGAAUUCCUGGUGUAGCGGUGAAAUGCGCAGAUAUCAGGAGGAACACCGGUGGCGAAGGCGGAUCUCUGGGCCAUUACUGACGCUGAGGAGCGAAAGCGUGGGGAGCGAACAGGAUUAGAUACCCUGGUAGUCCACGCCGUAAACGUUGGGAACUAGGUGUUGGCGACAUUCCACGUCGUCGGUGCCGCAGCUAACGCAUUAAGUUCCCCGCCAGGGAAAUUACGGA
rnacentral:rRNA from 1 species